CCACCUCAGAGGCCAUUCUCGAGAGGAUGCCAAGGACUUGGGGGAAGGCAAGGAGGAGAACAGCGGUCUGCGAGUUCUCCGAUCAUCGAGCGGCUGCUGCAGGUCCCUGUCGCUUCAAAGGGGGCUUGGGGAAGAAUUCCUUCAACAACAGGGGUUUAAUAACGGGGACCGCCGGUAAAGACGUUCUGCCUGAGAAUUUUGGAGUAGCA
rnacentral:lncRNA from 1 species